rnacentral:misc_RNA from 1 species
GCAAACUUGGUCAUUUAGAGGAAGUAAAAGUCGUAACAAGGUUUCCGUAGGUGAACCUGCGGAAGGAUCAUUCACAAUAAGUGUUUAAUGGCACUUUUAAAAUCCAUUACCCACCUUGUGUGCACUGUAGAUGGAAUUUUUUUUCCGUCAUACUUACAUACCAUUUUCUUGAAAAUCGUCUACAAUUUGAGUAAUAAAAAAACUCGAAUACAACUUUCAACAACGGAUCUCUUGGCUCUCGCAUCGAUGAAGAACGCAGC